rnacentral:rRNA from 1 species
GACGAACGCUGGCGGCGUGCUUAACACAUGCAAGUCGAACGGAGAUUAUUAAUGAAGCUUGCGAUUUAAUAAUCUUAGUGGCGGACGGGUGAGUAACGCGUGGGCAACCUACCCAUAAGCGGGGGAUAACAGUUGGAAACGACUGCUAAUACCGCAUAAGCUAUUAAGGUCGCAUGACCUAAAUAGUAAAGGUGGCAUUUUAACAAUGCUAUCACUUAUGGAUGGGCCCGCGUCUGAUUAGCUAGUUGGUGGGGUAGUGGCCUACCAAGGCAACGAUCAGUAGCCGGCCUGAGAGGGUGGACGGCCACACUGGGACUGAGACACGGCCCAGACUCCUACGGGGAGGCAGCAGUGGGGAAUAUUGCGCAAUGGGGGAAACCCUGACGCAGCGACGCCGCGUGAGCGAAGAAGGCCUUAGGGUCGUAAAGCUCUGUUGUAAGGGACGAAUGUUUGUCUGGCGAACAGUCAGAUAAAGUGACGGUACCUUACCAGCAAGCCCCGGCUAACUACGU